rnacentral:piRNA from 1 species
UAGUACCUAGGAAGGGAAUUCUGUCCUC